rnacentral:rRNA from 1 species
CUUGAACGCUGGCGGCCGGCCUAACACAUGCAAGUCGAGCGGAGCGGCGGACGGGUGAGUAAUGCCUAGGCAACUGCCUGGUAGUGGGGGAUAACGUCCGGAAACGGGCGCUAAUACCGCAUACUAUCAGAUGAGACUAGGUCGGAUUAGCGAGUUGGUGGGGUAAAGGCCUACCAAGGCGACGCUCCGUAACUGGGCUGAGAGGAGGAUCAGUCACACUGGAACUGAGACACGGUCCAGACUCCUACGGGAGGCAGCAGUGGGGAAGAUUGGACAAUGGGCGAAAGCCUGUGCCAGCCAUGCCGCGUGUGGGAAGAAGGUCGUCGGAUGGUAAAGCACUUUAAGUUGGGAGGCGUUACCAACAGGAUAAGCACCGGCUAACUUCGUGCCAGCAGCCGCGGUAAUUC